rnacentral:rRNA from 1 species
CCUACGGGUGGCAGCAGUGAGGAAUAUUGGUCAAUGGACGAGAGUCUGAACCAGCCAAGUAGCGUGAAGGAUGACUGCCCUAUGGGUUGUAAACUUCUUUUAUAUGGGAAUAAAAUGUUCCACGUGUGGGAUUUUGUAUGUACCAUAUGAAUAAGGAUCGGCUAACUCCGUGCCAGCAGCCGCGGUAAUACGGAGGAUCCGAACGUUAUCCGGAUUUAUUGGGUUUAAAGGGAGCGUAGGUGGAUUGUUAAGUCAGUUGUGAAAGUUUGCGGCUCAACCGUAAAAUUGCAGUUGAAACUGGCAGUCUUGAGUACAGUAGAGGUGGGCGGAAUUCGUGGUGUAGCGGUGAAAUGCUUAGAUAUCACGAAGAACUCCGAUUGCGAAGGCAGUUCACUGGACUGCAACUGACACUGAGGCUCGAAAGUGUGGGUAUCAAACAGGAUUAGAUACCCUUGUAGUC